CAGUAGCCGCGGUAAUACGAAGGGGGCUAGCGUUGUUCGGAUUUACUGGGCGUAAAGGGCGCGUAGGCGGACUGAUAAGUCAGGGGUGAAAUCCCAAGGCUCAACCUUGGAACUGCCUUUGAUACUGUUUGUCUUGAGUUCGAGAGAGGUAAGUGGAACUGCGAGUGUAGAGGUGAAAUUCGUAGAUAUUCGCAAGAACACCAGUGGCGAAGGCGGCUUACUGGCUCGAAACUGACGCUGAGGCGCGAAAGCGUGGGGAGCAAACAGGAUUAGAUACCCCUGUAGUCCCUGUCUCUUAUAU
rnacentral:rRNA from 1 species